rnacentral:rRNA from 1 species
ACGAACGCUGGCGGCGUGCUUCACACAUGCAAGUCGCACGGAAAGGCCCUGCUUUUGUGGGGUGCUCGAGUGGCGAACGGGUGAGUAACACGUGAGUAACCUGCCCUUGACUUUGGGAUAACUUCAGGAAACUGGGGCUAAUACCGGAUAGGAGCUCCUGCUGCAUGGUGGGGGUUGGAAAGUUUCGGCGGUUGGGGAUGGACUCGCGGCUUAUCAGCUUGUUGGUGGGGUAGUGGCUUACCAAGGCUUUGACGGGUAGCCGGCCUGAGAGGGUGACCGGCCACAUUGGGACUGAGAUACGGCCCAGACUCCUACGGGAGGCAGCAGUGGGGAAUAUUGCACAAUGGGCGGAAGCCUGAUGCAGCAACGCCGCGUGCGGGAUGAAGGCCUUCGGGUUGUAAACCGCUUUCGCCUGUGACGAAGCGUGAGUGACGGUAAUGGGUAAAGAAGCACCGGCUAACUACGUG